UACGGAGGGUGCAAGCGUUAUCCGGAUUUACUGGGUUUAAAGGGUGUGUAGGCGGGCUAUUAAGUCAGUGGUGAAAUCUCCGGGCUCAACCCGGAAACUGCCAUUGAUACUAUUAGUCUUGAAUUUUGUUGAGGUAGGCGGAAUAAGUCAUGUAGCGGUGAAAUGCAUAGAUAUGACUUAGAACACCAAUUGCGAAGGCAGCUUGCUAAACAAAUAUUGACGCUGAGGCACGAAAGCGUAGGGAUCAAACAGG
rnacentral:rRNA from 1 species